rnacentral:misc_RNA from 1 species
GUGAAUCAUCAAAUCUUUGAACGCAAAUUGCACUCUCUGGUAUUCCGGAAAGUAUGCCUGUUUGAGGGUCAGUUAAAUAAAAAUCGGUGUUGUUGCUGCCUUUCGUGGUGACGCGUCGGAUUUGAGUCGUCUUACCUUCGGUUAAGUGACUUAGAAUUUUGCAUGAUUUUCGAACGUAUUUAAAUUUCUACGUAACGUUUAGAUAUCGGAUACUUUUAUUAGGUUCGGUAAUC